rnacentral:tRNA from 1 species
GGGCCGCUAGCUCAACUGGUAGAGCAGGGGACUUUUAAUCCCAAGGCACCGGGUUCGAGCCCCGGGCGGCCCA